UCCUUCUUAUCGAAGGCAGUUUCCAAAGAGUGCAUCCCUUACGGGAUUAGCAACAUUGGAUGGGGGUUGCGCUCGUUGCGGGACUUAACCCAACAUCUCACGACACGAGCUGACGACAACCAUGCAGCACCUCUGCAGACUCCCUUGCGGGUCGGCCCCUGUUUCCAAGGACCUACCAUCUGUAGUUCAAGCCCAGGUAAGGUUCUUCGCGUUGCGUCGAAUUAAACCACAUGCUCCACCGCUUGUGCGGGCCCCCGUCAAUUCCUUUGAGUUUCAACCUUGCGGCCGUACUCCCCAGGCGGCUCAUUUAAUGCGUUAGCUACGGCGCGGAAGGGGUCGAUACCUCCCACACCUAAUGAGCAUCGUUUAGGGCUAGGACUAC
rnacentral:misc_RNA from 1 species